rnacentral:lncRNA from 1 species
GAUCAUCUGGAAAUGCUCUAAGGUUUUAGUUGUGCCUCCCAAAAAAACACUAACCAGGCUUUAUUUUCAAAUGUAUCUUCUGAUUAUGAAAAAAAACCAAUGCCACUAGCAGAAAAGCAAUUCAGUUAGAUGGUAACUAUUUGAAAAAAAGUUUUGCUCCAAGUUCUCCUGGACAAAAUCUGAUCAUACAAACAGGAAUCUCACACCUGGCACAUCUUUCCCGCACAGAGCAUUCAAAGUCUUUACAGCGGAUACAGCUACUGGAUUUGUCCAAGCUGAAAAUGAAUCACAGUCCUUCUGUGAACCAGACCACCAAGCAAUCUGCUGCCCUUCACCUGCAAGGGGGAGGAAGCCUGGAACCUUAAAAAGUUCCCUCAGGAAGAGGACCAAGGCUAUCAAUUAGCAGAGUAUGCAAGCAUAAGGACUACUGAAGAAUUCCCAUCAUCUCUAGGUAAGAACUCAGUCCUCUCUCCAGCUGAGUCUGUCAUGUUUUCAUCAGAAGAUAUCUACCAUUUUAUACAGUGUUACUUUUGGUUGUCUUGAAUUUUUUUCAUGUUUAUGUUUCUGUAGCUGAUGAAGUUUGGUCAUUACUGACCUCCCCUCACAUAUCUAUGGCAGUAAUUUCACGAUUAUAAGCCGCACUGAGUACAAGCUGCACUUCCGGGUGUCAGUAACUUUUCAUUCUUUGUCCAUACAUAAGCUGCACCUGAUUAUAAGCCGCAUGUUACAAUACAGAGUGUGAUAAAAGGUAUCUAUUCUAUCACCAUCUGUUGAGGGUGG